GGGUUGUGAGGUUAAGCGACUAAGCGUACACGGUGGAUGCCCUGGCAGUCAGAGGCGAUGAAGGACGUGCUAAUCUGCGAAAAGCGUCGGUAAGGUGAUAUGAACCGUUAUAACCGGCGAUGUCCGAAUGGGGAAACCCAGUGCAAUUCGUUGCACUAUCGUUAACUGAAUACAUAGGUUAACGAGGCGAACCGGGGGAACUGAAACAUCUAAGUACCCCGAGGAAAAGAAAUCAACCGAGAUUCCCCCAGUAGCGGCGAGCGAACGGGGAGCAGCCCAGAGUCUGAAUCAGCUUGUGUGUUAGUGGAACGGUCUGGAAAGUCCGACGGUACAGGGUGAUAGUCCCGUACACCAAAAUGCACAGGUUGUGAACUCGAAGAGUAGGGCGGGACACGUGGUAUCCUGUCUGAAUAUGGGGGGACCAUCCUCCAAGGCUAAAUACUCCUGACUGACCGAUAGUGAACCAGUACCGUGAGGGAAAGGCGAAAAGAACCCCGGCGAGGGGAGUGAAAAAGAACCUGAAACCGUGUACGUACAAGCAGUGGGAGCACCUUCGGGUGUGACUGCGUACCUUUUGUAUAAUGGGUCAGCGACUUAUAUUCUGUAGCAAGGUUAACCGUAUAGGGGAGCCGCAGGGAAACCGAGUCUUAACUGGGCGUUAAGUUGCAGGGUAUAGACCCGAAACCCGGUGAUCUAGCCAUGGGCAGGUUGAAGGUUGGGUAACACUAACUGGAGGACCGAACCGACUAAUGUUGAAAAAUUAGCGGAUGACUUGUGGCUGGGGGUGAAAGGCCAAUCAAACCGGGAGAUAGCUGGUUCUCCCCGAAAGCUAUUUAGGUAGCGCCUCGUGAAUUCAUCUUCGGGGGUAGAGCACUGUUUCGGCUAGGGGGUCAUCCCGACUUACCAACCCGAUGCAAACUACGAAUACCGAAGAAUGUUAUCACGGGAGACACACGGCGGGUGCUAACGUCCGUCGUGAAGAGGGAAACAACCCAGACCGCCAGCUAAGGUCCCAAAGUCAUGGUUAAGUGGGAAACGAUGUGGGAAGGCACAGACAGCCAGGAUGUUGGCUUAGAAGCAGCCAUCAUUUAAAGAAAGCGUAAUAGCUCACUGGUCGAGUCGGCCUGCGCGGAAGAUGUAACGGGGCUAAACCAUGCACCGAAGCUGCGGCAGCGACACUAUGUGUUGUUGGGUAGGGGAGCGUUCUGUAAGCCUGCGAAGGUGACCUGUGAGGGUUGCUGGAGGUAUCAGAAGUGCGAAUGCUGACAUAAGUAACGAUAAAGCGGGUGAAAAGCCCGCUCGCCGGAAGACCAAGGGUUCCUGUCCAACGUUAAUCGGGGCAGGGUGAGUCGACCCCUAAGGCGAGGCCGAAAGGCGUAGUCGAUGGGAAACAGGUUAAUAUUCCUGUACUUGGUGUUACUGCGAAGGGGGGACGGAGAAGGCUAUGUUAGCCGGGCGACGGUUGUCCCGGUUUAAGCAUGUAGGCUG
rnacentral:rRNA from 2 species